rnacentral:rRNA from 1 species
AAAUACGGGAGGCAGCAGUGAGGAAUAUUGGUCAAUGGGCGUAAGCCUGAACCAGCCAAGUAGCGUGCAGGAUGACGGCCCUAUGGGUUGUAAACUGCUUUUUAAGGUGAAUAAAGAGGGGCACGUGUGCCCUGUUGCAUGUAGCCUUAGAAUAAGGACCGGCUAAUUCCGUGCCAGCAGCCGCGGUAAUUUUU